ACACAUCACAGAUCAACAUAAGAGCGCGGAUUGAUGGUACUGGGGACCCAGGGACGAUGAUGCUGCACAGCAACCAGACCUACCGUGCUGCCACCAUCAGCCACGGCAAGUGGAAUAAGCCUUUCUACGACUGCUAUCACGGUGUCUGGAUCCUGUCCUACUACGUUCCCUUCUACAAAAAGAAACGGCAGUCGGGAGAUCUCGAGUUCAGUGGAGUCGUCGGUUCCGACGCAAAGCUGGCAUCUCUGGAUAUCAAUCAAUGCGAGGGCGACCCAAG